rnacentral:rRNA from 1 species
GGACGAACGCUGGCGGCGUGCUUAACACAUGCAAGUCGAACGGAAAGACCCUGCUUUUGUGGGGUGCUCGAGUGGCGAACGGGUGAGUAACACGUGAGUAACCUGCCCUUGACUUUGGGAUAACUUCAGGAAACUGGGGCUAAUACCGGAUAGGAGCUCCUGCUGCAUGGUGGGGGUUGGAAAGUUUCGGCGGUUGGGGAUGGACUCGCGGCUUAUCAGCUUGUUGGUGGGGUAGUGGCUUACCAAGGCUUUGACGGGUAGCCGGCCUGAGAGGGUGACCGGCCACAUUGGGACUGAGAUACGGCCCAGACUCCUACGGGAGGCAGCAGUGGGGAAUAUUGCACAAUGGGCGGAAGCCUGAUGCAGCAACGCCGCGUGCGGGAUGACGGCCUUCGGGUUGUAAACCGCUUUCGCCUGUGACGAAGCGUGAGUGACGGUAAUGGGUAAAGAAGCACCGGCUAACUACGU